rnacentral:rRNA from 1 species
AUUGAACGCUGGCGGCAUGCUUUACACAUGCAGGUCGAACGGCAGCACGGGCUUCGGCCUGGUGGCGAGUGGCGAACGGGUGAGUAAUGCAUCGGAACGUGCCCAUUUGUGGGGGAUAACUACGCGAAAGCGUGGCUAAUACCGCAUACGCCCUGAGGGGGAAAGCGGGGGAUUCUUCAGAACCUCGCGCAAUUGGAGCGGCCGAUGUCAGAUUAGCUUGUUGGUGAGGUAAAGGCUCACCAAGGCGACGAUCUGUAGCGGGUCUGAGAGGAUGAUCCGCCACACUGGGACUGAGACACGGCCCAGACUCCUACGGGAGGCAGCAGUGGGGAAUUUUGGACAAUGGGGGCAACCCUGAUCCAGCCAUGCCGCGUGAGUGAAGAAGG